GUUUCCACUCCGUGGCAAUUUGGCGCGGCGGCGCGUUUGUCUGCAUUUUAUCUGCAUGAGCAGGUCGCCGCUGUCGCAGCACCUGCUGCGGGGGGACGCGGCGACGGCGCCGCGGGGAAACCCACCGCCCGCGCCCCGAGGGGGGCACGUGUGCGGGGAGCAGGCGCGGGGGACCGGGGCUCCGGCCCCACGGAGGCACCUAAGCAGAGCGGCUCGAGCGCGUCCGUCCGUCCGUCCGUCCGGGUGACCACGCCGCCAGCACGGAGCGGCGACGCUGCAGGAGCCGGGCCCCGCGGGCGCCUCUUCUGUAUGAGCCCAGGCGCUAAAACGCAGUGGGCCCGCGGAUGCUUUGUGAGCCCUUGCCUUUUUCCCUCCUUUUCCAUCAUUUCCGCAAGAACAAGCCUGACGCCUGAGAGGUACCUGCCUGACAGCUGUGUGUUCUCCUUCGUGAACCGUCUCCGUUUGGCGCACGGCAGCAGCCCCCACUCAGCCUCGUAAGACGUAACUCCGGGACACAGUACACGCUCUAGAAGACUCGAAAAAAAAAGGAAGAAAAGAAAAAAAAGAAACUUGCCAAUCCACCGAAGAAGCCUCCACCCCCACCUCCUUUCCAGACCACCCUCUCGGGCAAAAAGCCCCAGUGAAUAGACAGGCCCUGCAACAUGCCCCCGGGGUCAACAGACUUGCUCUUUCUGACAGACCAACAGGGGAAAAGAAUGACGUUAAGGACAUAUGAAAUGAAAACUGCAGCGCGCUACCCUCCACACGCAAAAAGUCAGCGUUGGGGCAAUUGCGGGGAGUCGGGCUUUAAUACAGGAUUUCUACUGAUACAGUUUUGUGCACAGCUUGUGGAAAAAAGCCCAGAAAAGAUAAACCAGAGCUAAAAAUCUCAGCAACGGUCUCGUCAGACACACCACGUAUCCACCCAGUCACAUCCCCUUGCUUUCGCUGCUCGCGAGCGCGUGGCCCCGCUGCUGCUCACGGCGAGGGCAAGUGUGGCUGGGCUGCUUGGUAAAGCGGUGCUUCAAGUG